rnacentral:lncRNA from 1 species
ACCCUAAAAAGUUGCUUUCCCCUUGUUCCCUCCUUCGUCCCCAUCCUUUCCUCCAAUCUCGCCGGCGAAUCCGUAGGGCUGCCGUUAGAGACAAUGAAACUCCAUUCGGUGCCCCCUCUCUCUCUUCCUUUUCUCACCAGAAAACUUGACCCACGAAGCUUCAUCAUCUUUGCCUCUUCCCCUCUCCGAUUAGAGCUCUCCAUCCAUUACUCACCGGAAAACACGAGGCAGGAAUUCAGCGAAAAAACGUCGAACCAGAAUCAUGGGAUUGCUUAAUUUUGUUUCGAUUUACUGCAUAUCUAAGUAUAAAUUUUUAGAAACUUAAUUUUUCACAGGAACCACAAAAGAGAAAUUUGAUUUCUUUGAAAGGGUGCUAGCGCUUUUCCAUUUCUGAGUUACAGUAGUUAUGAAAACAUGACUCAGAUUGGGGUGGUCGAAGAAGAUGGUCGGACCAGCCAGGCUCAAAAGGGGCAGCAGAGUAGAGAUGAAGGUUCUAGGUUUAAGCAUGGUGGGUUUCAUCGAUGAUUUCAGAUGAUGGUUCAAGCGAGGAAGAUGAUGAAUCUGAAACCCUCGCUUGUUUUUUGCAUUCAGAAAUUUCAUCAGGUUUUGGUUUUUAGCAUUUUGAUUUUGUUAAAUUUUGAUUACAAGGUAACAAUUUAAUUUUGGUUUGGGUUUUGAUUUGGCUUGAUAUUCAUUAGCUUCAUCCUUUGAAAGUUGUAGAUGCAAGCACCAUUGUUGGAAGAUGUCGAAGAUGAUUGUGGCUACAGGAGACAGUCAUGGUCAUGAUUGUUAUUGGAGACGAUGAUGAUGAAGACGGGAUUUAAUCGAAGGGGACGAAGAGUUCUAAUUCCAGCUUCUGUUUUUUUUGUGCAGAUGUUAACAUCACCUCUGAUGUUACAUAAUUCUUUUGGAACUUUGGUUUUGUUCUUAUU